rnacentral:rRNA from 1 species
AUACGGAGGGUGCAAGCGUUAUUCGGAAUCACUGGGCGUAAAGGACGCGUAGGCGGGUUGGCAAGUCAGAUGUGAAAUCCUACAGCUUAACUGUAGAACUGCAUUUGAAACUGCUAACCUAGAGUAUGGGAGGGGGAGAUGGAAUUAGUGGUGUAGGGGUAAAAUCCGUAGAUAUCACUAGGAAUACCGAAAGCGAAGGCGAUCUCCUGGAACAUAACUGACGCUAAGGCGUGAAAGCAUGGGGAGCAAACAGGAUUAGAAACCCGAGAGUCC